rnacentral:lncRNA from 1 species
GGUGCUGCCAUGGGUGAAAGGGAGAGAUGAGGGAGGCACAGAGGUAGAGAGAGGCAUCGACUUUGGGUUAAGAGAGCACUGGGGAGGGAGAGGGUGUGGGGAAUAGGGAGGGGUGUGGGAGCGAGAGGGUGAGGAGGAGUCAGAGGGAGAGCACCACUCUUAGUCUCGGUUGACGAGGCUGGGGGAUGGAGAGGAAGAACUUCCUCUAUUUAUAUGAAGAUGGCUAUUAGGACUCACCUGGGCCUGUUGGGCCUCACCUUUAUAGAGACGGGCUUU